rnacentral:rRNA from 1 species
UACGUAGGGACCGAGCGUUGUCCGGAAUCAUUGGGCGUAAAGAGCGUGUAGGCGGCUAUUUAAGUCCUGCGUGAAAUCUUGCGGCUCAACCGCAAGCGGUCGUGGGAAACUGGGUGGCUAGAGUGCGGGAGAGGAGAGUGGAAUUCCUGGUGUAGCGGUGAAAUGCGCAGAUAUCAGGGAGAACACCCGUGGCGAAGGCGGCUCUCUGGGACGGUACUGACGCUGAGACGCGAAAGCGUGGGGAGCGAACAGG